CUACGGGAGGCAGCAGUGGGGAAUUUUGGACAAUGGGGGCAACCCUGAUCCAGCCAUGCCGCGUGUGUGAAGAAGGCCUUCGGGUUGUAAAGCACUUUAAGCGAGGAGGAAGGUUUUUAGUUUAAUACACUAAAGAAUUGACGUUACUCGCAGAAUAAGCACCGGCUAACUCUGUGCCAGCAGCCGCGGUAAUACAGAGGGUGCAAGCGUUAAUCGGAAUUACUGGGCGUAAAGCGCGCGUAGGCGGUUUGUUAAGUCGGAUGUGAAAUCCCUGGGCUCAACCUAGGCACUGCAUCCGAUACUGGCUAACUAGAGUGUGGGAGAGGAAGGUAGAAUUCCAGGUGUAGCGGUGAAAUGCGUAGAGAUCUGGAGGAAUACCGAUGGCGAAGGCAGCCUUCUGGCCUAACACUGACGCUGAGGUGCGAAAGCAUGGGGAGCAAACAGGAUUAGAAACCCCUGUAGUCC
rnacentral:rRNA from 1 species